ACUGUGGUUGUUUGCAAAGAAGGAAUUAUCACAACACAUGUUUCUUCUCAUGUCGGAUAUUUUAUAUCUCAUAAACAGGAUGUCCAACCCUGAUGAACAAACAGAGGCCAAGGCUCUCUUAAAGAAAAUGAUGGCGCUGUUGUUCCAGCCGGAAUGCAGCGCUGUAAAGUACAAGGAGUUCUUUGCCGCCUGCCAGUGAGCGACUCAAGGCCAUGUUGUAAGAGUAGGAUAAAUGCAAUCAUUCCCUAUUUGCAUUUUGUAGAGUAGUAAAAUUGCAACAGUUCUACGCAAUCACGCCUUCUCAAAAGAAAUAAUAAAACGCAUAGAUUUCUGCAAAAU